rnacentral:lncRNA from 1 species
CAGGAGUCUCAGCUAUGUAGCACUGAAAAUGAAUGUGGUGAUAACAAGCCACUGUCCAAGUGUGAGCCAGGCACGUGCGGGCGUUGCCUGUGUCUUUGUUACUAAACUUGUCAUCCUUACACCCACAGUGUCAGAAUCACUGUGAGCUUGUUGGAAACGCUGGAGCUCAGACUCAGCCAACAGCACCUGAGUCAGAAUCUGCGCAUUCCUCCUGGGAGAUUGGCCGGUACUGCAAGGGUCGCACCCCAACGUCUCUCCAACAUUCCGGGAAGUGGAGUAUGGUUUUGUUUUGUUUUCCUUCAGCUCUUACUGAUGAGGAGACAGAGAUCCCAGAGACUUGGAGUUAGUUAUAGAGUCACACUGACUGGAGGCGAUAAGUGAGGAUUUCAGCCCCUGGACAGAGUCACUUCAAAACCCCAACGGAAGCGAUGAUGUGGGGGAGGGGCCACGAGCAGCUUCUCGCUAAGCUUUUGAUUCCGGUUGUCUGACCAGCUUCCUCCCCGAGCUGCCCACGGAAGGACAUCUAAAGCUCCCAUCUAAAGAAUAGGGUGCUAGGAGUUCUUUCCCCUUAGUUCUUUGGGGACAUUUCAGGGUGUGUGUCUGUGCAGGACAGUCCUUAGGUGGGCUCUGAGAGUAGCCCUUUGCACUCUGAGGCAACCGCCAGACCAUAGUUCAGAGCACAAACAUCGCCGCCUGUCACUGCCGUAGCACGUCAGCCAUCAGCUGGGAAUGGUCUAGUCUCCUUCAAUCCAUCAUGCAGGGUUUCCAAGACUCUCACUCCAAGACCGCUCAGUGGGCCCUUCCCCCACCCAGGCCCAUGGGAUCCACCCGCAGUUUCUUUCCAGAGGAAGAAUGACAUCUUUUAAUGGACUCCCUGAGAAAGCAGACAGCAGCCCUGCCUCAGAAACCCAGAGUAGGCUGUGGAUCCCACAGUUCUGGGAAUGAGGUGGGAAACAGGGAUGACCUCAGAUUCUUCCAGAGGCUCCAGCACCAUGCUCACUUGCACCCCAGCCUCCACCAUAGAAGAACUUUACAGGUGAAGUGAAGGAAGAGGUCAGCACCUAGUGCAGACCGUUCUCUACAACAUGCAGCUUAGAUGGGAUACCCUAAUGCUGGGAUAAUUACCCCCACUCUAACUGGGGCAAAUGCUAUUCAUAGAAAAUUUCUUCCAUUCUCCUCCCCUCUGCUUCUAGACCCUUCUCUGGAGCCACUUCCCUCAGGUGUUGGGCAGAUCAAAGCCAAGGCCUACAGCUGAGCAGCUGAACAGGAUGGGUGGUAGGUGUUUUGCAAUCCAAUCUCCAGGAUCCUGUGGGGGAACGCAGGCCCUGAUGGUUAGCACUGUCCAUUUGGUCACCUAGGAGACAGACGUCUCAGCAGGCUUGGGAAGGAUAGGCUAGAUGAGAGUGAGCAUUGCUGGUGGGAAGACCCAGCUUAACUGUCCAUGGUACCAUUCCGUGAGCUGGGGUCCUGGGAUGAAUAAAACGUGUGUGUGGAUGGCUACUGUUCAUUGGAAAGUUGACUGCAUCAGAAUUAGUGCAAAAACACCCACCACCCAUCCAGUGCAGAAAUGGAGAGCAUAUCCGUGAGAGAUAUAUUGCUGGGUCUGAAGUGGGUGAGUCCACUUCUACUCCAGACCUUUAAGGUAGGAAGACAUAGACCUUUAAUCUUGUUCCUCC